GCAUAUCAAUAAGCGGAGGAAAAGAAAAUAACAAUGAUUCCCCUAGUAACUGCGAGUGAAGAGGGAUAAGCUCAAAUUUUAAAUCUGUUAGGUUCACCUAACCGAGUUGUAAUUUGAAGAGACGUUUUCUCGUUCUUGAUCAGCCCAAGUCCUAUUGAAUGAGGCAUCGUGGAGGGUGAUAAUCCCGUACGGUUGAUCAAUGCGUUUUACGAUACGUUCUCAAAGAGUCAAGUUGUUUGGGAUUGCAGCUUAAAAUGGGAGGUAAAUUUCUCCUAAGGCUAAAUAUUGGCGAGAGACCGAUAGCGAACAAGUACCGUGAGGGAAAGAUGAAAAGUAUUUUGAAAAGAAGGUCAAAUAGUACGUGAAAUUGUUGAAAGGGAAACGAUUGAAGUCAGUCGUACCUUCGAGUAAUCAGCCUUUUGGGUGCGAUUAUGUGGUACAUGGAAAGAUUUCAUGAUCGCAUAAUUGUGCAUUUUUGGUGUACUUGCUCGUAUGGUAGGUUAACAUCAAUUUCGAUCAUCAUAAAAUGACGGGAGGAAUGUGGCUUCUCCGGAAGUGUUAUAGCCUCUGGUAGAUGUGAUGAUUGGGAUUGAGGAUUGCAACGGAUACCCUUUGGGCUACUCGUCUGAUCUCUGAUUGUCUCUUUGGUGCCGAAAGCUUGCUUAUGGUUUCAAAGUAGGUGGUCAAAAGGUUAGAACGGGUUAAAUUCGUUAAGGAUGUUGACGUA
rnacentral:rRNA from 1 species